UGCAGCAUUGUCAAAUUCGGCCAUGUUGUCAAAUUCCGCCAUUGAUCAACGCUGAUUGGCCCAGAUGGCUGCUACGGCCUCUCUGAUUGGCUUAGAUUGCCGCCAUUAUGAAAUUUGACAAUA